GAUCAUGGCUCAGGAUGAACGCUGGCGGCAUGCCUAAUACAUGCAAGUCGAACGAGAGGACAAGAGAAGCUUGCUUCUUUUGGAAUCGAGUGGCAAACGGGUGAGUAACACGUAAACAACCUGCCUUCAGGAUGGGGACAACAGACGGAAACGACUGCUAAUACCGAAUACGCUUGGGAGACCGCAUGAUCUUCCAAGGAAAGGGUGGCCUCUACCUGUAAGCUAUCGCCUGAAGUAGGGG
rnacentral:rRNA from 1 species